rnacentral:tRNA from 1 species
GCCCGGGUGGCUCAGUGGUUGAGCAUCUGCCUUUGGUUCAGGUUGUGACACUGGGGUCUUGGGAUCGAGUCCCACAUCGGGCU